GAGUUUGAUCAUGGCUCAGAUUGAACGCUGGCGGCAUGCCUUACACAUGCAAGUCGAACGGCAGCACGGGGGCAACCCUGGUGGCGAGUGGCGAACGGGUGAGUAAUACAUCGGAACGUGUCCUGUAGUGGGGGAUAGCCCGGCGAAAGCCGGAUUAAUACCGCAUACGAUCUACGGAAGAAAGCGGGGGAUCGCAAGACCUCGCGCUAUAGGGGCGGCCGAUGGCAGAUUAGCUAGUUGGUGGGGUAAAGGCCUACCAAGGCGACGAUCUGUAGCUGGUCUGAGAGGACGACCAGCCACACUGGGACUGAGACACGGCCCAGACUCCUACGGGAGGCAGCAGUGGGGAAUUUUGGACAAUGGGGGAAACCCUGAUCCAGCAAUGCCGCGUGUGUGAAGAAGGCCUUCGGGUUGUAAAGCACUUUUGUCCGGAAAGAAAACUUCCUGGUUAAUACCUGGGGAGGAUGACGGUACCGGAAGAAUAAGCACCGGCUAACUACGUGCCAGCAGCCGCGGUAAUACG
rnacentral:rRNA from 1 species